rnacentral:rRNA from 1 species
AGAGUUUGAUUCUGGCUCAGAACGAACGCUGGCGGCGCGUCUUAAGCAUGCAAGUCGAACGGCAAGAGGUAGCAAUACCUCCUAGAGUGGCGGACUGGUGAGUAACACGUGGGUGACAUACCCUUCAGAUGGGGAUAGCUAUUAGAAAUAGUAGAUAAUACCGAAUACGAGCACAGGGGUUAGAGAUCUGUGAGGAAAGGAGCUAAGGCUCCGCUGAAGGAAUGGCCUGCGGCCCAUUAGCUAGUUGGUGAGGUAAGAGCCCACCAAGGCGAUGAUGGGUAUCCGGCCUUAGAGGGUGAACGGACACAUUGGGACUGAGAUACGGCCCAGACUCCUACGGGAGGCAGCAGCUAAGAAUCUUCCGCAAUGGGCGAAAGCCUGACGGAAGCGACGCCGCGUGAACGAAGAAGGCCGUGAGGUUGUAAAGUUCUUUUCGGGAGGGGGAACAACCGUGGCAGGGAAUGGCCGCGGGAUGACGUGAAUCCCGGAAUAAGCCCCGGCUAACUACGUGCCAGCCGCGGC